AUGUUGAACGUGAGGAUUGGAUGAAACUAAACAGAGUGGCAUUUGAUUUUUGUUUCGUGCUUUCUGUUUAGUUUUCUCCAAUAUCUCAUCUUCAACCU
rnacentral:pre_miRNA from 1 species